GUGAUAUUUACUAAAAUUAUAUUGACCAAGCACAACAUAUCCAAUCAUCUGGAACCUGUCCUCUUCUUUUCUGGAACUAGCAGAAACCACCGUUCUUUGACUGAUUGUUACAGAGUUUAUCUGGUUUUGAAAAUUAAUAUUCUCUGAAUUUUUUUGCUAGCUAAACACCACUUGAAGGUACCUGGAAAUACAUUACUUGCUGAAGCUGCACAUCUUACGCCCCAGGAGGAGGCCAAAUUCAUAUUCCGAUCAUGUGAUCUAAAUACUAAAGCUUCCUUGCUGGAUCUAAGGUUUAAUUUCUCUGCCCCAAUGCUGGUUCUUAGGGUAAUACAAGUUCUACUCCAUAUUUUUUAUGCCCUCCACAUAAAUCCAUCACUCUCUUGUUGCCUUGAAGCAUACUUCCGUAGCAGCCGGAGCUGAACAUUUAGAGAGACCAUAUUGUAGCAAGCUUGCUUUCCAGGGACCUGGUGUUUCUGCAAACCCAACGAUAGGCGUGUUUGAAAAAAAAAAGGUCAGUUCGUGUUGCAAUUUCAUGAAAACUUGCUUAUGCGGUGUUAUUGCACUGGUACAAAAAAUGUCAUGGUCUUUUUCUUCCUGUUUAGAACGCCACCUACCUAUGAAUUACGACUCUGGGCAUGGCAGAAGUCACCAUAAUUUUUGUUCAGCAACUAGAUUUCAUCCCAAGAUGUGCCAUCUCUCUAAUUUGACUCUGAGCAUGUAAUACAGUUAGUUAAUCAUGUGGGUUGGUCUUGUGUCUUCCAGCUGCAAUUGAAUUAGUCUAAGCAAUUGAGGUCCUACUAAUUAAUUAAGCUGGCUAUUUGCUUGCUUCUUGUACCUACGACAUGCUCUCUGAUUUUCUUUAUCGCAGUAUGCAAGCUUCUAAGCGCCGGAUUGAUGUCGUACUAACAAAUUAAGGUGGUUGAUUACUUGCUUUUUUUUCUCAGUAUUGCAAGCUUUACUGUGAACUAAAAGGAAUUAAAAGGAAGGAGCCAGUAUGCCUACAGUUGAUUCACUGAUGUUCAAAUUAACUGCAGUAGCUUAUUUUUCCUACACCUUCAUUGAAAGUUCCUUUGCCAUAUCUAAUUAUCUAAAGUUUUCCUUGUACCAUUUUCCAUGAGAUUAAUGUAAUUGGGAAUACCAGUGCUUGUUUGAAUCAUUUAGUUAAUUAAUUUUGUAGAUAAAACUUGUAUUUAUAUGUUUUAGAAUUACUAUUAUCCUGGUAAAAUGACCACAAGUGAAAGGGUUGUAAAGAUUAAUUAUUCUUUGUGGAAGCAUUAUUGGUCUAAUUAAUAGAUGUACAUGCAUCAAUAAUGUUGUUGAGCUUUAGUUGAUUCUAUAGGGUCGUACUAUUCGCAAAGUUCUAUUUUGAGAAAAAAUAGCAAAUUUUUGCUUGUGGUAGCUAAAUGGCGCGCCCGCUGUAGCAAGUGAGUGCCCAUCGAAAUCACCCUGAGCAUAUUUGCGCUGAUUUUCAUGAUUGCUCUUCUGCCAGCAACAAUGUUCCUCGCACUUCGACCACACAACUGUAUGUUCAUGUUCCAGAGUCCUUAUUCAUAGUUAAUUUCAAUCACAAAGUGACAAAUGCCAGUCUAUUAGUUAACAUGUGUAUCUCCGUUUCUUCUAAGUUUCAAUCGACCUACUCUGAAGUUGUUCCUAAGACAGUGCCUCAAGCAAAGGGAAUGAGCCUCAGUUAGUGUAUCUAGCGAGUUCGCGAUCCUUUGUUGGGAUAAACAUUUGUGCAAGAGCAAGUCUCGUCACUGUUGGUUGUUCGUACUGUUGCUUGAUAAUUCUAAUUUUUACUUCAGUUCAUAAGGCAAUGUAGUUAUGCUUGACGCACGAUAUGAAGACUGCCAUUUUGCCUUUUGACCUUGGUUUCUUCCUCCAGUAAGUAAAUGCACAUACUUCUUUUCUAAAUUAGAGCAUAUGACUUGUUGAUCGAUCUCUGAACUCAGUAAUAAUAUUAAGCCUUAAUCUGUUUAUUGUGCAGACAAGAUGAGAAAGAAAUGCUACCCAAGAAUAUGUACUUUAUAAACAUUUCAACUGUAAUCUGGAAUAAAAUUAAAUAAAUAAGGAAACAGUAUAUUCAUAUAUCUUUUUUGUACUUUGAUGGUUUCACACCACAAGUUCCUAGAUGGUAAUUGUGCUGCAUAUGUCUGCUCUCUUUGUUUUUCUGAACAGGUAGGUUCCGGAAGAUGUCAUGAAGAAUUUCUUUGAGAGAAUUUGCGUGAGGUGUGUCUAAAUGAUUUUUAUCUUCUAAACAUAUUCUUGUAUGACUAACUGAAUUCAUUUUCUCAAAACGUUGGUACUUUUCCUUUUUCAUUUAUGUUGCUCGACUGAGUCUCUCUCGGAUCAUGUACACUCCACAUGCUAGCUGAUUUGUAGCAGUGCGGAAGGUGAGCUUGGCUGCCGGCAGCAGCUCCUUUGGCUGAUCUGCGGCGAUGCAGAAGUUGGGUUGGAAAAAAGCACGACCGGCUGCUCUGAAGUGGGUCGUAGGGAGAGCUUCGUAAGAGAUAGGGAGGGAGCUCUAUUGGCCCGUGCAUGACAUCCAACCCAAUGGCAUCAUGCCCUGGUAGGCAUGGUUGCAUGGCCACGGGGAGAAUGGAGCAAGUAGCGUGUGAGGAGUUUAAGAAAUGGGGACAAGGGACAGUUUAGUUAAUUAAGUCUAUGUUAGUUUCAAGUUUUAUCCUUGUUGCGGUAAAAAAUUAAGGUUGGAUUAACCACCAUGUACAUCUUUAAUUACUUUUAAAUAAGAAAUAUAAUCAAAAUAUUCUUUUGA